rnacentral:lncRNA from 1 species
UCUAAGGGUCCAUACUGGGCUAUAAAAAUAGUGUAGUACUUGAGCAGUACUGUAAAAAUGGCAAUUAUAAAUAAUUAUGAGUGUUGAGGAGGUAAUAUGAACACUCAAGUUCAAAGCAGUAAAAUAAAAAUUAAAAAAAAAAGACAGACUUAGGUAAGCCAUCUAUCAACUCGGAGAAUGCUGAUGCUUUGUUGAAAGAGAGCUUUGUCUUACAAAUUAGGCACUUAUAAAAUUUUCCCUGUACAAGCUCUCGCCUGCCGCCAUGUAAACGUUCUUUGCUCCUGCUUCGUCUUCUGCCGUGAUUGUGAGGCCUCCCCAGCCAUGUGGAACUCAACAGGCUAUUGGGUUUGGAGUGAAUUCUCAGAAACAUCACUACUGACAUAACUCCAUAAAGAAUUCAUAAUUUCUACUCACAUGUUUUACCCACAUCAAUAACAGAAUCUCAGGAAAACCAAAGUGGAGUUUACAAUGUUCAUUUUGACACUGUGCAUUAGACUUCUCGACUUCAAGCUACAAAAACCAGCACAGAACCUGGAAAAAUUUUACCUCCUGGCAUUUUUGUUUCUCUACCCUGAUGCUUGUUGUUGAGUUUUACCCAUGCUUUGACCAUCAGCAAAUUGAAGA